rnacentral:rRNA from 1 species
AACGCUAGCUACAGGCUUAACACAUGCAAGUCGAGGGGUAACGAGAGGAAAGCUUGCUUUCCUUGUCGACGACCGGCGCACGGGUGAGUAACGCGUAUCCAACCUGCCCACCACUUGGGGAUAACCUUGCGAAAGUAAGAUUAAUACCCAAUGACGUCUCUAGAGGACAUCUGAAAGAGAUUAAAGAUUUAUCGGUGAUGGAUGGGGAUGCGUCUGAUUAGCUUGUUGGCGGGGUAACGGCCCACCAAGGCUACGAUCAGUAGGGGUUCUGAGAGGAAGGUCCCCCACAUUGGAACUGAGACACGGUCCAAACUCCUACGGGAGGCAGCAGUGAGGAAUAUUGGUCAAUGGGCGAGAGCCUGAACCAGCCAAGUAGCGUGCAGGAUGACGGCCCUAUGGGUUGUAAACUGCUUUUAUAAGGGAAUAAAGUGAGUCUCGUGAGGCUUUUUGCAUGUACCUUAUGAAUAAGGACCGGCUAAUUCCGUGCCAGCAGCCGCGGUAAUACGGAAGGUCCGGGCGUUAUCCGGAUUUAUUGGGUUUAAAGGGAGCGUAGGCCGGAGAUUAAGCGUGUUGUGAAAUGUAGAUGCUCAACGUCUGCACUGCAGCGCGAACUGGUUUCCUUGAGUACGCACAAAGUGGGCGGAAUUCGUGGUGUAGCGGUGAAAUGCUUAGAUAUCACGAAGAACUCCGAUUG